UACGUAGGUGGCAAGCGUUGUCCGGAUUUAUUGGGUUUAAAGGGUGCGUAGGCGGCUGUUUAAGGCAGUGGUGAAAGCCGAUCGCUUAACGAUCGAACUGCCAUUGAUACUGAAUAGCUUGAGUACAGAUGAGGUAGGCGGAAUUGACAGUGUAGCGGUGAAAUGCAUAGAUAUUGUCAAGAACACCGAUUGCGAAGGCAGCUUACUAAAGUGUCACUGACGCUGAGGCACGAAAGUGCGGGGAUCAAACAGG
rnacentral:rRNA from 1 species